rnacentral:rRNA from 1 species
UACAGAGGUCUCAAGCGUUGUUCGGAUUCAUUGGGCGUAAAGGGCGCGUAGGUGGCGCUGUAAGUCAGGUGUGAAAUUUCGGAGCUUAACUCCGAAACUGCAUUUGAUACUGCGGUGCUUGAGGACUGGAGAGGAGACUGGAAUUUACGGUGUAGCAGUGAAAUGCGUAGAGAUCGUAAGGAAGACCAGUGGCGAAGGCGAGUCUCUGGACAGUUCCUGACACUGAGGCACGAAGGCCAGGGGAGCAAACGGG